GCGGUCGAGGUGCUGGUUCGGCCCGAGGGGAUCCGGCUCUCGCCGUCGUCCGGCCUGGUGGCGACGGCGGAGGUGGAGGCCUUCCGGCUGCUC
rnacentral:tRNA from 1 species